GUCGAGAAUAGUCUACAAUGGUCGAAAGACUGAUAGUGCGACGCCGCGUGAACGAAGAAGCCCUUCGGGGUGUAAAGUUCUUUUAUAUGUGAGCAGUGGUUUCCAUGUGAACAGCAUGGGGACAGAGAUAUUAGCAUAUGAAUAAGCAACGGCUAACUCCGUGCCAGCAGCCGCGGUAACACGGGGGUUGCGAGCGUUGUCCGGAAUUACUAGGCGUAAAGGGCAGGUAGGCGGAUCGAUAAGUUUAAUGUUUAAGGCAACGGCUCACCCGUUGUAGGGCAUUAGAUACUGUUGAUCUGGAAUGCGGUUGGGGAAGACAGAAUUCCUGGUGUAGCGGUGGAAUGCGCAGAGAUCAGGAGGAAUACCGAAGGCGAAGGCAGUCUUCCAAGCCGUAAUUGACGCUAAACUGCGAAGGUGUGGGUAUCAAACAGGAUUAGAUACCCUUGUAGUCC
rnacentral:rRNA from 1 species